GAUUCCCUUUCCCUGGAUCCCAAAGGCCAAAGCGAGUCUCCGUGGGGUGUAUCAGGUCCGGAAGCGGUCCAUUCAGGUGACGGAUCGGAGUGAGAACCUUCAAGAGAGUGACCGUACGGCUUCAUGGUACGGCCUGCCGUAUGGUGGGAAUGAGUAAGGGGAAAGUGAUGGAUUGGUGAGAGAUUAAGAGGAAAUGGGUGAA
rnacentral:misc_RNA from 1 species